rnacentral:rRNA from 1 species
UUGACAGCAGGACGGUGGCCAUGGAAGUCGGAAUCCGCUAAGGACUGUGUAACAACUCACCUGCCGAAUGUACUAGCCCUGAAAAUGGAUGGCGCUCAAGCGUCUCACCCAUACCUCGCCCUCAGGGUAGAAACGAAGCCCUGAGGAGUAGGCGGACGUGGAGGUCAGUGACGAAGCCUAGGGCGUGAGCCCGGGUUGAACGGCCUCUAG